GAUGGUUAUACAAGAACGCAUGCAGAUUUUUCGUUUGUGGAAACAGAAGCGGAAAGAGAGGAAGCCGUAGAUUACAAGGCUUUCUUCUCUGUCUGUCACUCUCUUACUCUGUCACGCACAUUGCACCAACAAUAGCAUCCAUUUCUCUCUUUCACUCCUAUUCAUGAGUCGCUACGAUCCCAAUCCCUUCGACCAAGAAGAGGUCGAGGUUAAUCCCUUCGUGGUUAGUAUUCAUUUAACCUAACCUCCUUUCAUUCGAUUUUUCGCUGCCUAAUUCAUUCUUCGAAGUCGCUAUUCGCUAUACCUAGAUCCUUGCAUAAUCUUGUUCGAACAACACCCCGGAGCCAUCGAUUUGCAUAAAGAAGACCGAGGAGGAGGAAGUUGAAUCUUUAGAGAAAGAGCUUCUCGACUUGUUCGGCUAUUAUAAGGAAUUUAUGGCUGAAAAGUGAAGAUCAACCUGAAUAGUCACUGGAGUGGUUCAGGAGAAGACUUAUUCGAAGAUCUCGUCUCGUUUAUGCUAAUCGAGAGUGACCUUCCGCUCUCGAAGCUGGUCGAGGAGAUCUAGUAUCGAUUGAACCGGGAGGUUCUUAGCGGCACGAUCGUGCUGGCGGAGCCGGUAACGUACCGGAGUGUGAUGAGGGCUAUGAUCUUGGAUGAAGGAAUGAUAUCUAGGUUGCCGGAUGAAAUCGAUGCACAGAUUACUAAUAAAUGUGUCGGAGAAGAUCAUGGUUAGGAUUCAAGCGAUAUAUGAUAUCUGAAAUGAGAACGCAUGCAUAAAGCUCAGGAUAUCGACUUGAUAAGGCAUUAUUGGGAGAUAUGUUAUGAGUGAUGAGGCUCAAGAUUGGAAAGGGUUCGACAGAUUCAAGAGAAUGAUGUUAACGAAGGUUCGACAGAUUCAAGAGAAUGAUGUUAACGAAGAGACUUAAAUAAAGAAAGGAAUUUGCAGAGAAAACAUAAUUGGUUCAUAUUAUCACAUGUAAUCGAUUCCAAUUUUCCAACUGUAAAAUUUUUAUACACAAUAUUAUA